rnacentral:lncRNA from 1 species
GUACACAAAUAUAAUAAUAAUAAUUAAGAGCAGUGGAGGGUUGUUUAUUCCUUUAUUUAAAAUAUUUAUGUGGCGCCUUUUCCUUCAAGAAAGCAGCCAUCCUAUGUGCUUAGGAUUUUGCCAUGACCAGGCAGGGGCUUGACCUGGGAUGUGUCCCCCUCCCCCUCCAUGUCCAAGGCCAGGAUCCACACUGGUCAUGAAGGGGGUGGGAGCCUGCUGGCCGCAAGGGUGACCCCCCCUCCACUGUCCCUCAGCAGCAGCCUGGGAGUAAAACACCCUCAGAAGACAGUGGUGCCCUUCUGUUUGUGCAAGAACAUCUGUGAGAUGAGGUGGGGGGGGAACAGGGAGCCAACGAGCUCAUCCUCAUUGGAGGCAAAACGUGCCACGGGUGUCCAUCUCACCACAAGGACCGCCGCAGGGUGUGUCUCCUCCAGAGCAGGGGCUCCACAGUUGCCGGUCAUGUUCAGCAAGAGGGAAUCGAAGCCGGUCCUUGGUUUCUCCUUCAGAUGUGAGAUGUUAACGGGAAUUAACAUAUUUUAUUCUCUGUCUUUUCCAGGUUUCCAUGUCCACGUGAAGACCGCUGGGAAGACGGGUGGCUGUGAGAAUAAGUUCUUAAAGGAUCUCUUAAAGCACCCGUCCCGCAAAAAAGUCUCUAUAAAAGUGAAGGACGUCAGGGAGGACUCAAGGCCCCUCACUCUUCUCUUCUGCCCCAUAGCUUCCCGCAUGGGCACCGACAUCGAAAACGCCCUCGAGGGACGGAGUGGCGAAGAGAAGGUCUUCUUGGUGGUCAUGCACUUGAUCCCAAAGGACAGCUCGGGGGCCUUCGUGGACACCAAACAGCAGGUGUCCCAUCCGGCCGUGGUGCUGACCGUGCACACCCGCUUCACCCUCCAGGAUGGCUUCUACCCUUGUGAGAUGACCGCCGCGGCUGUGGCUCACAUGGCAGAUUUCAUCAAGGACCUCAGCAAGCGUCACUGAGGGGGGACUCGGCUGCUCCCCACGUCUUCCUCAUUUGAUAUCCCGAGGGCUGGGGAUCUGUUAAGACGCCGAUGGGGUUUGCUGCAGAGCAUGCGGGGACUGGCCAGACUUUGCACCUUGGGUUGUGGCGGGAGGGGGUUCCCAUGCGUUCUUGCACCUGGAGUGGGAUCGACACCCCUCCCGCCCAGGCCAGAGAGCAGCACCGUGCCUUCAGCUGAGGAGGAGGACGCAAGGUGUGAUCGGAGAGAGAGAGAGAAUGCCCCUGCUCCUCUGAGCAUGCGCAGACUGACCAGGAGCCUCAGGCUGACUGGGCAGAGCUGGCCACGUCUGCUUCUCUGUGUGUGUGUUUGUGCGUGUGUGUAUGGAGGGGGCCGAGUUUGCAGGGCGGGGGCGGGGGGGUGUUUGACUCUUCUUCGGUGCUUUUACAAUCCCAGGGGAUGAUUUCAAAACCAGAAGGGGUUCAGAAUCAGAAGUGGGGAGAGGGAAAGGCAUGGCCAACGAUUGCAUGCUUUUAUUAAUCACACCCGGGGCGCCAAAUGCCUUUUCUGAGUUUUUAACGUUUUAUACUCUUCUAAUGCACCCAUGUAUUUUAAUGAGUAUUAUAGUUGAAUGGUUUUAAAACAUAUGAAUUCUUGUGUUUGAAUUCUCUUUUUUUAACACUGUGAGCCUCCCUGAGUCUGCCUCGUCUCCAGAGAAAGGAAGCUAAGACAAACUCAGGCAGCGGAAUUUUGAGUAUUGUGUCACUAAUGAAAAAUAUGAAAUAAAAAAUGAGAAAGUUGUGCUGUGGAGGUCUUU